UACGAAUCGCUUCCAUGUAUCACAUUUGACUCCUUCAUGCAUGCUCCACUUGGCUCGGGAGGAUAUAGCUCAAAUGGUAGAGCUCCGCUCUUGCAAUUGGGCUGUUGCGAUUAUAGGUUGGAUGUCUAAUUGUCUAGGUGGUAAUGAUAGUAUCUUUUACCUAAACGGGUGGCUCACUAUUUCUAAGCAAUGGGGAAGAGGACCGAAACAUGCCACUGAAAGACUCUACUAAAACAAAGAUAGGCGGUCAAGAAUGUAGAGGAGGUAGAGUGUGAAAUCGGGGUUGCGGGAGAGCAAUACAAGCAUCAUGCUACUAGGCAAAGUGGUGGAGUGCUGCACCUUAGAUGGAGAGAGUCUAGUAACCGAAAGUAUCACUAGCUUAUGCUUUGACCCGAGUAGCACGGGACAUUUGGAAUCUCGUGUGAAUCAGCAAGGACCACCUAAUACUCCUGGGUGAGCGAUAGUGAACUAGUACCGCGAGGGAAGGGUGAAAGAAACCCCCAUCGAGGAGUGAAAUAGAACAUGAAGCCGUAAGCUCCCAAGCAGUGGGAGGAGACCAGGGCUCUGGCCGCGUGCCUGUUGAAGAAUGAGUAGGCGACUUAUAGGCAGUGGCAUAGUUAAGGGAACCCACCGGAGCUGUAGUGAUAGCGAGUCUUCAUAGGGCAAUUGUCACUGCUUAUGGAUCCGAACCUGGGUAAUCUAUCCAUGACCAGGAUGAAGCUUUGGUGAAACUAAGUGGAGGUUCAAACCGACUGAUGUUGAAGAAUUAGCGAAAGAGUUGUGGUUAGCGGUGAAAUGACACUCUAACCCAGAGCUUAUUGGUUCUCCCCGAAAUGCGUUGAGGCAUAGCAAUUGACUGGACAUCUAAAGGUAAAGGGCUGUUUCGAUACGGGCCGCGAGACCGGUACCAAAUCGAGGCAAACUUUGAAUACUAAAUAUGUCCUAAAAAUAAUAGGGGUCAAGGUCAGCCAGUGGGAUGAUAGGGGAUAAGCUUCAUCGUCGAAAGGGAAAUAGCCCAGAUCACCAGCUAAGGCCCCUAAAUGAUUGCUCAGUGAUAAAGGAGGUAAGGGUGCAGAGACAGCCAGGAGGUUUGGCUCGAAGCAUCCACCCUUGAAAGAGUGCAUAAUAGCUCAUUGAUGAAGUGCUCUUACGCUGAAGAUGAACAGGGCUACAGAAUCUACCAAAGUUGUGGGAUGUAAAAAUGCAUCAUUGGGGGAGCGUUGCGCCUAGAGGGAAGCACCCACGCGAGUAGUGAUAGACGAAGCGGAAGCGAAAAUGUCAACUUGAGUAUGCAAACAUUGGUGAGAAUCCAAUGCCCUAAAAACCUAAGGGUUUCUCCGCAAGGUUUGUCCAUGGAGGGUGAGGCAGGGCCUAAGAUCAAGCCAAAAAGCAGACUAAUGGACAACAGGUGAAUAUUCCUGUACUAAUCUUUGUUGGUCCGAGGGACAGAGGAAGCUAGGUUAGCCGAAAGAUGGUUAUCGGUUCAAGGAUGCAAGGUGCCCCUGGUUUUUUAGGGUAACCUAUGCCAUACUCCCAGGAAAAGCUCGAACGACCUUCAACGAAAGGGUACCUAUACCUGAAACCGACACAGGUGGGUAGGUAGAGAAUACCUAAGGGCGCGAGACAACUCUCUCUAAGGAACUUGGCAAAAUAGCUUCGUAACUUCAGGAGAAGGGGUGCCUCCUUACAAAGGGGGUCGCAGUAACCAGGCCUAAGCGAUUAUUUACCAAAAAUACAGGUCUCCGCAAAGUCAUAAGACCAUGUAUGGGGGCUAACGUGAUAUGAACCUAGGACGACCUACUCCUAAACCUGUAUUAUAUUAGUCCAGAUCUUAAUUAAGUUAAAGUUCUAAUGGAAUUGACCUCAACCCCUAACCAACCCGUGGUUAGAAAUCUUGGUAUAAUGUAGACGCCACAAUAGGGGAUGGAAAACCUAUUGAUAAGUCAAGCUAAAACAACCAAUUCUCUAAUGGUGUUUUAGGUGUUCUCAAAGAACAAAGAGAUAAUUAAUCUCACAAGUAUUUUCUCAAUCAAAUCAAAGUUUUGUUCUUAUUGAAAAUUAAGCCUUUAAAUAGGCUUUGAAAGAAACAAAAUAAACCCUAAAAACCCUAGGAAAAAUCGGCCACAUAAUGAAGAGUUCUAGCUUGACCGAAUCUUUCAUUUUCCGAAUCUAAUUAAUUAAUUACCUUAUUUUCAAUUUGGAAUUAAUUAAUUUACAAACAAAAUAAUAAAAUAAAAACUUUCCUAAACUUAUUUGUCCAGCAAAUAAAUAAAUAAAAACCCAAAGUCAAACGCAAAUUAGGUAACGAGUUGACUUUGACAUCUAGGCUGAAUUAUGUCUUCAAUCGAGCUAACUCAUGACUGUCCGAGCUAACUUAUGUCUGUCUGAGCUAACUUAUGACUGUCCGAGCUAACUCAUGACUGUCCGAGCUAGCUUAUGUCCGUCCGAGCUAACUUAUGACUGUCCGAGCUAACUUAUGUCUGCGUGAUGUCCGAACUAAGUUAUGUCAGAUGUCCGAGGCAUGGGUGUCCAAUAUCAAAUGU
rnacentral:rRNA from 1 species